GUGUUUACAUAAAAAAACAAUGCUUUAAAUAUGAUUAUUAAGGGAGCGUACACUCUUUCACAUCAGGUCACACUCAAAACCGCUAUUAUCAGUUAUGACUUUAGUAUCCGAAAGGUCGAGAAACUUGGACACCACGUUUAAGCAGCGUAAUGAAGUUUACCCAACGCGUCGUGUACUAUUACGCGGAAGCUAUAUAGAAUGUACUGCAUUAAUAAUACGAACUAUCGUUUUUUCCCCCGAACCAUAUGCCUGUUUACUUUAUAUUUCACACAAACAUCAUUAUUCAGAAACAGCAUAUGCUGCACUUCAGCAGUGUUGUGUGCGCUCUGAGCCAAAACACCCCCGCCAUUUGUGAAUGGGCUCAUCCACUUACUGUAGGAUCUUAGGAGUUUGGUGCAGUGUCCAAUGAAAGCGUGCUACAGCGAAUCAAGUCGUCUAUUGGCUCAAAGAAUGAUCAAUCAUUAAUUUAUCGCUCGAUAUGCUUCCAUAAAUGAAGAAAGGGUGGAAUGAAAAUACUGUUAUCUGGAGGGAAAAUGUAGUCUUCGCAUAUUCUGUUUUGUUCUAAUGCUCUCUCUCUCUCCCCCACAUAGUCUUGCUUCUCUCUCCCACUCAAACACACAUACUACUCACGGAGAUCUUUAUUUUUAAUAUUUAAUUGUUAAUGUUUGUUUUAUUUUUUUUUACUCAUGUCAUUUGCAAUAACUCUUUCGUUCCAUAUUUUGUCUAUUCCCAUAUCAUUCAAAGUUGUGGAUAGAACUUUUAACAGGCAUUCCAGUAGUUUCAGUGUCAGUCUGCACAGUGAUGUACAUGGUUAAACAAUUUGGAGAGGAGCUUUAUGUUCUGGUCAAUUUAAAAUCCAUCUCCCCAAAUAAAGAAAUCUCUUUGUUAUUAUAAAUAAUACAUCUUCCAUAAAAUGCUCAAGUGGAGGCUUUAAACACACACUGACUGGUGUAGGCUGAAGUGCACCAUUGUGGGCAAUACAACUGACCCGGUGACAAGGUGUAUGAAGUUUGUCUGAGGAGCAUCUGUCAUCGAUCAGAAGCGAUUAAUGCAAGGAACAGUGUCUUAUCAGCUGCCACGAGCAUCACACAAUCCUCGCUUCCCUCGGAAGAGCAGCGGUAGGAUCCGCCGCGCGCAUUUACAGGCAUGAAAUUACUAUCAAAUCCCCAAAGCGCUCGGCAAACGAAGGGUGCGCGCCGCGCGGGUGAGGGAUCGGAUGUGGACUUAAACACAAAUGAAAGGAGGAUUCGUGAAGCAAAUGUAACAGAUAUAUGACUAACCCAACGCCGUACAACAGAUAAACACGCACGGGUUUAUUGUCGCUAUUGAAAGCAACAUGCCGCUGUGGUUCAGAAGUCAAACGGAGGUCAUCCUUUAUAUCCCCCCGCAGCGAUCAGCGACCAGGGGCCAGUCAGCAGUGAACCCUGCCUUCUCCACUACUGACAACUGCCUGAAAGUUACAAGACUAUCGGGAAUGGGUAAGACGCACUGGGAUAAAACAGCAGGCUACUAACUUUCUUUUUUUAAUCUUUCCACUGCAUGCGUGUUUCAUGUGCUUGUCAAAUGUGAAGUGUGUGAAUAUUCAAAUAAUCUAUGCGUUUCUGUGCGCACAACGGAGACGUGUUAGACAAUUACUAGCUAAUAAAAUAAUGAGAGAAUCAUUAAUUACUAAUCGUGGGGAAAAUGAAAUUACAUGGCAAGGCUAUACAUAUGAAAACUAAACAAAAACAUUCAUUCAUACGUUUUCCAGGCUACGUGAAUGAAUCAAAUACGUGCACCGCGUCUAGGAAUUUAGGUAUAAUUAAUCGGAGGGGGUAAACAAUGGAUAACAUAUUUUUUUUAUACUACAUGUGUAGUUAAAAUGACUGGAUUUAGUCUAUUUACGCACGUUUUAUUAGUUGGGAACAUUGAAAAGAAAGCGGUAUUUUGACAAUAAGCAUAUUUCAUGUUUAUUUAUAGGCCUAAUUAAACAUAGAAACCAGUGUUUUUAUUUGAUUUCGCUUUGUGAUUUUAUUUUACUUUGUCGUUUUAUGUUGCUUGAUCUUAUUUUAUUUUCAAAACUUUCUUAAUUAAGAAACGUACUGCAGGUCAAUUGGAUUUGCAAUAAUGUAAACUACUACACAAGAUCCUAAAGAAAAACAUAUUUUUCAUAUGCAAAGGCUUGCAGUGACCUGUAUGCUUGAUCAUGUGCGCCUUCUACUGGAAACAUGCAGAAUUUUCUUUCUUUGUUUCUUAAUGAGAGACGCAAUGACUUUUCUGACACGCACAAAAACAGAAGAACUGCCGUCAAUAAUAUCGCUUUACUUUUAGAUAAUUGUUAAAAUACUAAUUCUUAGUUUAUUAAUGAUGAUGAUAAUCGAUUGUGACAAUUUAGGAGACUACAUGUGUAUUAAUGACUAUUUUAAACAACUUGAUUAAGUAUUUGUUUGAUGACGGAUCAUUGUGACAGAUCCGUCAAAGGUUCAAAAUCUGGUAACUUACUAUUAAUUCAGAUUACGCUUAAUCGUUAUUAUUUCAUCUUUAUUCCUCCAUUAGCUGCUAAAAAUCUGUGUUGUUUAUCAUAAAGUAGAUACUUAUGUGGUCAUUUGGAUACUUUUUGUUAAAAGCAACGCUAAUGACAGAUCAUCAGAAAAUGUCCCACUUCGCCUGUGUUCAUAUUAAUUAGCUAAAAAUUAAUACAAAUCAAUUGCCCGUUGACUUCUUUGAGGUUUUCGGCUGUAAAUCUAUUUUCCGUAACUGACAAACAUCAAUUAGUAAUAAGUAAAACAAAAACAGUAAUAGGCUAUUAAAAUUAUACAUCUAAAUAAAUAAAAAUGAAUAUGCAGAUGUUUCUAAUAGCUUUCGUCAACGCACGCAUGUGUCAAAAUCAAAAAUGAAAAACCGAAAUGUCAACAGCACUUCAAAAAUGACACGACAGCGUUUACUUUUACCUUAAAGUUUUAAAUGUUAGAAUCAGUUUUAUUCACUAUGGAUUAUGGAUACGUAUUUUGCACUAAGAAAGUGCAUGGCGCAUUUUUCAAUAACAUUAAUAGACUGAAGACGCAUAAAGAAAAGCACUUGUGAGAUUUCAGUGUGUAUGAAGUUUGUAUUGUUGAACUGAAUUGUGUUGUUGAAAAUGAUUAAACGUGAAACUAACAUGAAUUCACUGUAAAUGUCUGAAAAUGAGAUUUCUAUUAAAACAAAACACUGCACUUGAA